UCGGCCUGGCCCCCGGCGGAGCUCUGAGCAGGGUCCAGAUGCCGCCCCUGACCCUCCCGGGGCCUCGAUGGGAGCGGGCCUCGGCACCCCUCCCGCAGCCUGGGAAGACAGGUUUGUGCACCCCCGCUGGGCACCUGAGGAAACUGUCUCCGAGGAGUGAAGUCACACAGAGCGCUGACUCUCUGGGCUUUGGAGAGAGCGCCAAGAGGGCCAUGGGCUAUGCCUGGGGAUAGGCAAAAGCCAGGGGCUCCUGAAUCCAAGGAGGCCAGAAGUGAAGAAGAUGUGCCCCAAUUUAAGGAAAGUGUUAAAUGAAGAUGCACUUCCUUUUAUUAUAUAGGGAGAUAUUUUUA